CCCAAAGGAUGGCACCAGGGUAAGGUACCCAUUCUUGCUCCUGUGAGGUCGCAAUAGAUGAUGAUAACCCUUAUAAUUAAU
rnacentral:rRNA from 1 species